rnacentral:snRNA from 1 species
GUGCUCACUUUGGCAGCACAUAUACUAAAAGUAGAACAAUACAGAGAAGGUUAGCAUGACCCCUGCGCAAGGAUGACAUGCAAAUUUGUGAAGCAUUCCAUAUUAAA